rnacentral:rRNA from 1 species
AUUGAACGCUGGCGGCAGGCCUAACACAUGCAAGUCGAACGAGUGGCGGACGGGUGAGUAAUGUCUGGGAAACUGCCCGAUGGAGGGGGAUAACUACUGGAAACGGUCGCUAAUACCGCAUACCAUCGGAUGUGCCCAGCUGGGCUUAGCUAGUAGGUGGGGUAACGGCUCACCUAGGCGACGAUCCCUAGCUGGUCUGAGAGGAGGACCAGCCGCACUGGAACGGAGACACGGUCCAGACGCCUACGGGAGGCAGCAGUGGUGAAUAGGAGACAAUGGGCGCAAGCCUGAUGCAGCCAGGCCGCGUGUAUGAAGAAGGCCUUCGGGUUGUAAAGUACUUUCAGCGGGGAGGCGUUACUCGCAGAAGAAGCACCGGCUAACUCCGGGCCAGCAGCCGCGGUAAUUC